rnacentral:rRNA from 1 species
UGCAAGUCGAACGUGAAAUGUAGCAAUACAGAGUAAAGUGGCGUACGGGUGAGUAACACGUGGGUAAUCUACCAAAGAGCCUGGAAUAACCGGCCGAAAGGCUGGCUAAUACUGGAUAGUUCAAGCGAAAUUUAAUGUUUCGAUUGGGAAAGGGAGCGGGCAACCGCCUUCACUUUUUGAUGAGCCCGCGUCUGAUUAGCUAGUUGGUGAGGUAAUGGCUCACCAAGGCUGAGAUCAGUAGCUGGUCUGAGAGGAUGAUCAGCCACACUGGAACUGAAACACGGCCCAGACUCCUACGGGAGGCAGCAGUGGGGAAUAUUGGGCAAUGGGCGCAAGCCUGACCCAGCCAUGCCGCGUGUGUGAUGAAGGCCUUAGGGUUGUAAAGCACUUUUAGUGGUGAAGAUGAUGACAGUAGCCACAGAAAAAGCCCCGGCUAACUUCGUGCCAGCAGCCGCGGUAAUACGAAGGGGGCUAGCGUUGUUCGGAUUUACUGGGCGUAAAGGGUACGCAGGCGGCUUAUCAAGUCAGAGGUGAAAUCCCGGGGCUCAACCCCGGAACUGCCUUUGAAACUGAUAGGCUAGAGAUCGAGAGAGGUGAGUGGAAUUCCUAGUGUAGAGGUGAAAUUCGUAGAUAUUAGGAGGAACACCGGUGGCGAAAGGCGGCUCACUGGCUCGAUACUGACGUUCAUGUACGAAAGCGUGGGGAGCAAACAGGAUUAGAUACCCUGGUAGUCCACGCUGUAAACGAUGAAUGCUAGUUGUUGGGACCUUUAGGUUUCAGUGACGUAGUUAACGCGCUAAGCAUUCCGGCUGGGGGAGUACGGUCGCAGAUUAA